AAAUGACAUCAGGUAUCUCUAUUUGAGAAAUCAGUUUCAAAAAUGAAAUUGAGUGAUCUCAUGAAGGCUACUAACAACUUCAGUAAUAGCAAUAUCAUUGGGACAGGAAGAACAGGAACUGUUUACAAAGCUACUCUUGAGGACGGAACGGCAUUUAUGGUGAAAAGAUUGCAGGAAUCUCAACACUCUGAGAAAGAAUUUAUGUCUGAGAUGGAGACACUAGGGAGUGUAAAACAUCGUAAUCUGGUUCCUCUUUUAGGUUUUUGCGUGGCCAAAAAGGAGAGGCUUUUGGUCUUUAAGAACAUGCCAAAUGGAAUGCUCAAUGAUCACCUACACCCUGCUGAUGGUGUGUGCACCCUCGACUGGCCUUCAAGACUCAAAAUCGCAAUAGGAGCGGCCAAAGGAUUUGCAUGGCUUCAUCAUAGCUGCAAUCCCCGUAUCAUUCACCGAAACAUAAGCUCUAAGUGCAUCUUGUUAGACGAAGAUUUCGAACCCAAAAUUUCCGAUUUUGGCCUUGCCAGAUUGAUGAAUCCCCUCGAUACACAUUUAAGUACUUUUGUAAAUGGUGAAUUUGGUGAAUUUGGUUAUGUGGCUCCUGAGUAUACAAAAACACUGGUCGCUACGCCUAAGGGCGAUGUUUUCAGCUUUGGGACCGUGCUUCUUGAGUUGGUGACGGGCGAAAGACCUGCAAAUGUGUCUAGAGCACCGGAAACGUUUAAAGGAAAUCUUGCAGAAUGGAUUGCUGAGCUCACAAGCAACUCAGAACUCCACAAUGCUAUUGACGAAUCACUAGUUAACAAGGGUGAUGAUAACGAGCUUUUCCAAUUUUUAAAGGUUGCAUGCAACUGUGUUACACCAAAUCCAAAGGAGAGGCCAACCAUGUUUGAAGUAUAUCAGUUUUUAAGAGCUAUUGGCAGUAAGUACAAUUUCACAACCGAGGAUGAAAUAUUGGUACCUGAAGAUAUCAGUGCUAAUAACAUGGAUGAACUUAUUGUUGCUAGCGAAGGAAAAUAAUUGAAAAAGGUAUGCAAGAUAUAUAAUAGGGGUAUGUGUAUUCACAGUUUCUAUAUGUAAUUAUCUAUUUCUUACUUUGUUGUUCUAAAAUAAAUGUUAGUUUUUUAUUUAGUUUUUUGAGGAUCUAGAUCCAGUAGUGUGCUAUUGAUAUUGAAAUGUCAAUAUAAAAUCAUCAAUCAUGGAUUUAUAUAUAGUUGAGUUAUUUUUCUAUCUGUAUUUAUAUACCAUUUCCUUGUUGUUCUGGUAAUAUCUGUUGGUACUCUCCCUUGUGCCUCGACUGACAACCACCACAGAUCCUUUCCCGUCUGGGACCAGAGAGUCUGCUCCCCCAUUGUAACUUUGCGUUUUCAUUUCCGGCCCUAAAACAUCCAUUAAGUGCCUAUUUUCGCGUAUAUAACUCUCACAUUGUUAUCUAGAGACUCCUCAAACGAUCCCCCGUACUCUAAUCAACACAUCUUCUCUGCCCGACCCCCAUCCGAGCCAUCGCCAUUGAACAGAUACUAAGCUUUGGAAUGAGCAUUUGUUGCUGAAAAUGCUAGGAGUUCCAAUCCAAAGCAUCUUACGGCUGCUCCACGCUCGUAAAUUUGUUGAGUAUGUGGAAGGAAAUCUGUAAAGAAUUUAUUUAAAAGUGUAUGCUAAGAAACCUUGCAGAUUCACAAAUCAUGCUGAACAAGUCCCUCCAAAACAUGAAAAUGUUACAUGGUUUAGUGUUGACCAUAUAAUUAUAAAAAAAAAGUGUUGACCAUAUAAAAAUUCUUUUAGAAAUUUCGUUUGUCAUAUUCAUUGCCACCUAAUUUAACAAUUUUUUUUUUAUUAAUUUAAAAAAUUGAAAGGAACUGUUUUGUCUUUUCUUUUCCUUUGUUUUGUGUUUUCAUUUUCUCUUUUUUGUCCAAUAGCAAGAUACACUUUCACAAGUCUUCGAGGUUCUCUAUUCCAAAGUCUUCUCUCAAAAUUGAUUUUUUUUGCCUUUCUUUGACCCUUUCCAAUUCAUUUUUUUUAUUUUGCUUCUUCACAAACUAAAUUCAUUUUUUUUUUAUUUUGCUUCUUCACAAACUAAACUAUCUAAGGUUGAAAUUUUUAGCCACUAAACUUUUUUUUUUGACUAAUAGCCACUAAACUAUUUGAUAAAAAAAAAAAUAAAGUUUUCAAAUAAUUUUAUACAUUUGUUUUUAGUCUAACCGAUUAAUCCGACCAAAUUAGCCUAUUACAAUAUCAAUUUGGUUUGGUUUGAGCUUUAUCCUAAAAAUAUGGAAAUCCAGCUCAAACUGAUACUUAUAUUAUUAAAUAUUGAACCAUUCAGAAAACAUAUUCAGUUAAAUAAUUGAAUCAAAUUAUCAAAAAAGAAAAAAAAUUUGAAUCAAACUGGCAUGUGAACACCCAUAUAUAGUAUGGGAGAGUCCAUGAAUAAAAAUAUAUUUUUUAAAUAGAUUAAGUAAUUGAUUUCGUCAAUUUUUUUUUUAUUAAGUAAUUGAUGUAUUUGGUUAUAAUAUAAUCAGAUACAUAAAGGAUAUUUAAGGAAGUAUAAUAAAAAAAAAAUCAACCAUGCAUGCACAAAAAAAAUCCUAAUAGGCUAAUAUAGUAUACUAUAAACAUCCUUCACUCAUGCACACUGGUGCGAGCUUUGAAUAAUGCUGGCACUACAUAUAUAAAUUUAUAGUAUUAAAUAUAUUUCAAUUUUUAAAAUAUACUUAAGUAUACAUUAUAAUUAAUUGUUCUCUACUGCCUUUCAUAUUCUUAAAAUAUAAUAUUAAUAUUUUUUUUUCUUCUUUAUUUUCAAGAGUGUGAGCUGAUUACUCUUUCUGAUCUUAAACAUAAGCAAAUGACAAAACAUAUUUAAUCUAAAUUUAAGUCAAAUACGUUCAAUAUUUAAAACUAAAGAAAUAUAUAUUCUCAUCUUUUGGUGAGUAGUUUCUCAAAACCCGCCGGGCCGGCCCGUUGACCCCGUCAUUUUUGGCGGGUUNNNNNNNNNNNNNNNNNNNNNNNNNNNNNNNNNNNNNNNNNNNCGGGGCGGGGCGGCCAGCGAGUUAAUUAUAUAAAAAUAUAAAAUCUAUUUUUUAGUAAUGAAUAGUAUAAGAUGACUCAACCCAAUAAAAUACAAGACUUAUUCAAAAUAAAUUUAGUUUUUUUCUCCUAUUCAUUCAUACAACCGGUGCCAAAUUUAGGAUUACUUGUUGCCGCUUUACUCUUUUAUUGUCGUUCUCGCUUCUUUUUGUCUCUUCGGUCUUCAUACUCGUUCUUUCUCUUCACCGGAUUUUUAGUGUAACUUACUUUUCUUAUUCUAUUACUUGAAUCAACAUCACAUACGGUGUGGUUCACAUUUUUUCUCGGUUCAUUAACUUAAACGCAUAAUCAAAUACUUUCUUGAUAAUUAGAGUGACUACAUAUAUGUUUAUAAGUAUAUAAUCAAUGAACUUAUGACAUAUUUCCUUGAUGAUUUUGUCUCAUAAACUACAUACAUGUUUUCGUAACAACACAAGUGUCAAAAUAAAAAAUAAAAUAAAAAAUAAAAAAAACUUUUUGUUUCACGGGCCAGCCCGCCAACUCGCUUGUCUGCCAUUAAACGGGACGGACUGUGAUUUUAGACUCGGCCACCUAAAUUUGCUCGGCUCGUACCGCUUUUAGGCGGGCUUAAGCGGGCCGAGCCUAAACGGGACGAGCUUGCCCACUUUGCCACCCCUAGUCAAAAUAAGUUGUAAGGUAGUGAGAAAAUGUCAGUUAUCAUAUGAGCUUGUAAGCUAUAAACUAUAAUUUCAAAAAUGUGUUUUUCCAAAUAGAGCUAAUUAGCAUAUAAUGCUCUCUUAGCAUUCAAAUAUUUCUAUUACAUGAAAAAAAAGAAAGGAUAGAAGGGGUGUGUAGGCCUUAAGUUGGACAUGUCUAAAGCAUAUGAUCACAUUGAAUGAGAGUUUCAUUUGUAAAUGCAUAUCAUCUGUUUGUUACUUUGUCUAUGUUACUUGAUGGAAGCCUUGUUGAGAAAUUUAACCCACAGAGAGGUCUCUGUUAAGGUGACCUGCUAUCUUGAUAACAUAGCUUCCAAUCCAACACUUCCACAAGUAAGAUUGAUUCUGAAGUAUGGGAAAAGCUGUGGAAGGUUAAGACGAUUCCGCGACACUGGCAUCUCAUUUGGAGAAUUCUGCAUGGUAAAAUUCUGGUGACAAUGUCAUUGUUUCACAAAGGUGUGAUGUGCAGUCCACUGUUUUUUCUGCGAUCAACGCCAUGAAACCAUCAACCAUCUCUUUAUGACCUGUUAUUGGACUAGACAGGUUUGGUUCGCUUCAUCGCUUGGAACAUUUCAUUAAUGGCUGCAAUAAUUAUUACAAAUUCUGAAAACGAGGUGCUGAAAUUAGUUUUUACCAUCUGCUAUGUGAUAUGAUGAUAUGGAUGAUACGGAAAAGCAAAUGUUUUGAAAGUGUUGACAGCCCAGAUGCAGUUCAGGUUGUUACUCGAGCACAAAAAGCCAUCCAAGCAUUUCAUAAUGUAAGUCUCACCAUUGAUCAGACCAUUCCUCACCCGCGGAAUGCUACAAAUUGAACAUAGACGCUGCACUAAACCGCAAGGAGAAUAAAUGGAAUUUGACCGCGGUUAUUCAAGAUAAUGCAAGUGAGUUUGUAGCAGCUGCAUAUGUUGGCAGAUUAUGUUGAUACAAAAGUCUGAUGUAGCUGAAGCAAUGGUGGUGUGGUGAUAAAAGGCAUUGAGUUUGCAAGAGAUUUUUGCUUCAUGAAGUUAGUGUCGGAAAUAGAUUCUUUAAAUAUGAUCAAAUCAAUCAUCGACCAUGUCAUUUUUUAUUCCUACACGAGAAUCAUUACUGAGGAAUGCAAAAGUAUAUCUAGCCAUUUACAAUAUUUUCAAUUGUCACAUGUUAGAAGAGUUGCUAAUCCAGCGGUUCAUUAUUUAGCUAAGUUCGCUUUACUGAUUCCGAUAGCAUUUGGAUUGAGGAAACUUCUGAUUGUAUUUCGGCUGUCUAUGCUUUCGAUUUGAUGCUAAACAGACUCAUUAGUAAUGAAGAACUUUCACUUUCACAAGUCUUUGCAGUUCUCUACUCCAAGUCUUCUCUCAACUUUGGAGUUUUUUGCCUUGGCUUCUUUGACCCGUUCCAAUUCCCAUUUCCUUUUUGUGCUUCUUCUUCACAAUAAACCUAUCAAAAUAUCAUCUUAAUCUCUCAAAGGUAACUUCCUUGCUCUCUUCUCAUCUCAAAUUUUCAAACUUUAUACUUAUUGUUUUGUAUCUAGGAUUUUGUUGAAGAUGGUUCUUCUAAGUAGCUGGAUUUUCAAUUUUCAUGUUUUUGUUACUUUCUUGUUGCUGAUUAGUUGUGGAAUAACCUACGGGACUGAAACUGAUAUCUUGUGCUUGAAAAAUAUAAAAAUUUCCAUCCAAGACCCGAAUAAAUUUUUGACAUCUUCAUGGAAUUUCAACAAUAAUACUGAAGGGUACAUUUGUAGCUUUUACGGUGUUGAAUGUUGGCAUUCUAAUGAGAAUAAGCUCAUGAAACUCGAAUUGUCAAAUAUGGGACUCAAGGGUCAGUUUCCUCGCGACAUUAUUAAUUGUUCAAGCUUAACAGGAUUAGAUCUUUCGGGUAACGAUCUCUCUGGAUCAAUUCCAGAUGAUAUAUGUUCGCUUCUAAAAUUUGUGACAACGCUUGAUCUUUCUUCGAACGCAUUUUCUGGGGAGAUACCUGAUAACCUUGCAAAUUGUACUUAUCUGAAUAGCAUUAAACUUAAUCAGAACCGACUCACCGGUCAAAUUCCUCNNNNNNNNNNNNNNNNNNNNNNNNNNNNNNNNNNNNNNNNNNNNNNNNNNNUUCCUCUACGGCUAGGCACUCUCACACGUAUUAAGACGUUCGAUGUAUCCGACAAUCUUUUGACCGGACAAAUUCCAAACUUCACUGAUGGUACAGUUAGUGUAAAUUAUGCAAAUAAUCAAGGUCUUUGUGGAGGUUCAUUGGGGGUUUGCAAGGCCAAUGGUUCAUCGAAGAGUAACACCGCGGUUAUAGCUGGAGCAGCUGUUGGUGCAGUGACUCUUGCAGCGUUAGGAUUGGGCAUUGUAAUGUUCUUCUUUGUGCACCGUGUUUCUUAUAGGAAAAAGGAAGAAGAUCCUGAAGGAAACAAAUGGACAAAAGGUCUUAAAGGAGCUAAGGCAAUUAAGGCAAGUUAUAUAUUUAAACUAUGCAUUUUUCUUAUUAGUUUCAUUUGUGUUUUAUAGCAUUUUUCUUGUUUUAGGUUUUUUCAACACAAUCUAAUUUCCAUUUUUGAAGACUUUCAACUGUUUGUCCUUCUAAGUUCUAACUAUAUACUGAAAUGACAUAUCAGGUAUCUCUAUUUGAGAAAUCAGUUUCAAAAAUGAAAUUGAGUGAUCUCAUGAAGGCUACUAACAACUUCAGUAAAAGCAAUAUCAUUGGGACAGGAAGAACAGGAACUGUUUACAACGCUACUCUUAAUGACGGCACAGCAUAUAUGGUGAAACGAUUGCAGGAAUCUCAACACUCCGAGAAAGAAUUCAUGUCUGAGAUGGAGAUGCUAGGGACUGUCAAACAUCGUAAUCUAGUACCUCUUUUAGGUUUUUGCGUGGCCAAAAAGGAGAGGCUUUUGGUCUUCAAAAACAUGCCGAAUGGAAUGCUCCAUGAUCGACUACAUCCUGCUGCUGGCGAGUGCACCCUUGACUGGCCUUCGAGACUAAAAAUUGCAAUAGGUGCGGCCAAAGGAUUAGCAUGGCUUCAUCAUACAUGCAAUCCUCGUAUCAUCCACCGAAACAUAAGCUCUAAGUGCAUCUUGUUGGAUGCAGAUUUCGAGCCCAAAAUUUCUGAUUUCGGCCUUGCCAGAUUGAUGAAUCCACUCGCUACACAUUUAAGUACUGUGAUAAAUGGUGAAUUCGGAGAUUUUGGUUAUGUGGCUCCUGAGUAUGCAAAAACAUUAGUCGCUACGCCUAAGGGCGAUGUUUUCAGUUUUGGGAC
rnacentral:lncRNA from 1 species